CCGAAAUAUUCCUCACUCGACC
rnacentral:siRNA from 1 species